AGAGUUUGAUCAUGGCUCAGGAUGAACGCUAGCGGGAGGCUUAACACAUGCAAGUCGAGCGGCAAGGCAGCAAUGCCCUAGAGCGGCGCACGGGUGAGUAACGCGUAUGCAACCUGCCUUUUACAGGGGGAUAGCCCGGAGAAAUUCGGAUUAAUACCCCAUGGAACUAUAAAGCCGCAUGGUUUAAUAGUUAAAGAUUUAUCGGUAAAAGAUGGGCAUGCGUGACAUUAGCUAGUUGGCGGGGUAACAGCCCACCAAGGCUACGAUGUCUAGGGGUUCUGAGAGGAUGAUCCCCCACACUGGUACUGAGACACGGACCAGACUCCUACGGGAGGCAGCAGUGAGGAAUAUUGGUCAAUGGGCGCAAGCCUGAACCAGCCAUCCCGCGUGAAGGAUGAAUGUACUAUGUAUUGUAAACUUCUUUUCUGCAAAGAGAAAGGGCACUACGUGUAGUGUUUUGACGGUAUUGCAGGAAUAAGCAUCGGCUAACUCCGUGCCAGCAGCCGCGGUAAUACGGAGGAUGCGAGCGUUAUCCGGAUUCAUUGGGUUUAAAGGGUGCGUAGGCGGUUUUUUAAGUCAGUGGUGAAAUCCUGCGGCUCAACCGUAGAACUGCCAUUGAAACUGAAGAACUUGAAUAUAGUUGAGGUAGGCGGAAUGUGCAGUGUAGCGGUGAAAUGCUUAGAUAUUGCACAGAACACCGAUUGCGAAGGCAGCUUACCAAGCUAUUAUUGACGCUGAGGCACGAAAGCGUGGGGAUCGAACAGGAUUAGAUACCCUGGUAGUCCACGCCUUAAACGAUGUUCACUCGCUGUUUGCGAUAUACCGUAAGCGGCCAAGCGAAAGCAUUAAGUGAACCACCUGGGGAGUACGUCGGCAACGGUGAAACUCAAAGGAAUUGACGG
rnacentral:rRNA from 1 species